GAAUUUAAAAUAGAUAGCCAAACGUUCUGUAAAUUGUUAAAGCUAGUCUGUUAAGACUAGUCAAAAUAUCAGAAUUGAUAAUGCUGACAUAAGUAGCAAAAAUGGUUACCAUGACCGACAAUUCGUGGUUUUCUGC
rnacentral:rRNA from 1 species